UGGGGAAUAUUGGACAAUGGGCGAAAGCCUGAUCCAGCCAUGCCGCGUGUGUGAAGAAGGUCUUCGGAUUGUAAAGCACUUUAAGUUGGGAGGAAGGGCAUUUACCUAAUACGUAAGUGUUUUGACGUUACCGACAGAAUAAGCACCGGCUAACUCUGUGCCACAGCCGCGGUAAUACAGAGGGUGCAAGCGUUAAUCGGAACUACUGGGCGUAAAGUGCGCGUAGGUGGUUCGUUAAGCUGGAUGNGAAAUCCCCGGGCUCAACCUGGGAACUGCAUUCAAAACUGACAAGCUAGAGUAUGGUAGAGGGUGGUGGAAUUUCCUGUGUAGCGGUGAAAUGCGUAGAUAUAGGAAGGAACACCAGUGGCGAAGGCGACCACCUGGACUGAUACUGACACUGAGGUGCGAAAGCGUGGGGAGCAAAACAGGAUUAGAUACCCUGGUAGUCCACGCCGUAAACGAUGUCAACUAGCCGUUGGAGCUUGAGCUCUUAGUGGCGCAGCUAAACGCAUUAAGUUGACCGCCUGGGGGAGUAUGGCCGC
rnacentral:rRNA from 1 species